GAGAGCGGCGCGGGGCAACGGAGCGCUGCGGGGGGUGAGGGGCGGCAGUGAACCCCACAGCAAAACGGCCCCGGGGUUCUGUUUCCCCCUCGGACCCUAUUUCCGGCGGACCCCUGUGGAAAUGCCCAAUUGCGGGGAACCCCAAACGCAGGAAAAUCAUUUUUUCAUCAGUUUCCUACCCGGCCCCUAUUGGAAGUGCACUCACUUCCUGCCUAGCCCGGAAUUCGCCCGCCACUUCCGACCCCCAACCGGAAGUUGACCUCCCGCAACCUAUUUCGCACCUCGGCACCGGACGGGCUCCGAGCGGCCCUUCGGGGGACCGCAGCGCUGCCGUGUUCGGCCCGGGGGGUGCGGGUGGGUGCUGAGUUGAACUGUGAUUGUCAUCCCCUCAUGGCUGACAAAUGGGAAGGCAUCACUGGAGAAGGAGAACCAAAGGCAGACUUUGGAGAAUGGUGAAAGGAGAGGUAAAAAGCUUUGAGUAUCUUGGUAAGUUCCCUGCUGUUACUUGGAUGCUUGGUUGCUGUUUGAUGCCCACAGUUUGAAUGUUUCUCAAACCAGGAGACAUGAAUAAUUUAAUGAAUUUUAGACCAAUGGAAAGAAGACUCAGUGCACACAGUGAUUGAAGUACUGCCCUUUGGGAGUUAGAAGAGGGAAACACAGCCACUGGUUGCAGAGAGAGAUGAAAGAAAGAGGUGGUUUGCCCAGAGAUACAGUACAGUUCUCAAUGGGAAAAAAAAGCAACACUCAGAUAAGUGAAAAUCUCUUCUGGAGUAGUUUGUCACAGGUGCCUCCACAAGCUCAUGAUCUGCCAACUAAAGGCAAUCAUGAAUCAUUUUCCAGAAUAAAUAUCUUCAUUUCAUGCAUUAUUCUCAUGCUCUGCUCCCAGUUUUAUUUUCAUGGAGUACAAAAUCCCUCCUUCUCGUGUGAUUCCUUUAAUGGCAUCUGAAGUAUCAUAUUUGCCUAUGCAGCUUCAACCUGUACAGACAGAGUUUGAGUGAUCUGAAAAGAAACUUUCUUUUUUCAGAGAGGAAUUGUGCUGGUGAUUUCUGCAGGCUUACAAAUAUCUGUUAUCUGUAGCCCGUGUCACAAGCAACUGCAGCCAUCUUAGGACUCGACUUCCCACCAUCAAGGUGGGUGACAGAUGGUGUUGGAAGUGAGGUGUGCGUGUCCUGCACCUCGGAAAAACACUGCAGGCUUCCAGCCAUCUGUUGGGCUUAAUUGUUAAGUCACUGGCCCGCUCCCUUUGGCAUCCUCUGCUGCUCAACAUGGAGGCGUAAGGUGCAGCUGAGGGCUGGGAAGAGAGCAGGGGUUAAGUGAGACUGACAGGGCACCAUCCAGAACCACCUGGGGGAAUGGAAAGAUGUCAACAUUUGUUCACUUUUUCUCUCUCUUUCAGGAUCUGUUGCAACAUGUGAAAAUGAAAGGGGGAAAGUCUACAGGUAGCACUGAUCCCAGACAACCUUUGUAUCGUGUGUGUUUGCCUGGUAAGUUUGCAUUUCAGAUCACACGUGGAUAAACACAGCUCAAGGCCCAAACAGGUGACUGGCCCACGAGAAAGAACUUGUGGCAGCUUGGGAACACACACACUGCCUCUUCCUUCUGUGCAUAGCAAGAAGAAACUUGUUUGUGAGCAACUGCUCUGCAGCUGUAACCAGGUCUGCCUGCUUUCUGUGAAUGCUGCUUUCUUGUCUCCUGCUGUCAUAAAUACAGCACUGAGGGGUGGUGUGGGCACUCUGCUGGCCAGCUGCCCCUACCAAGGUGAGUGCCUCUCUAUUAAACUGAUGGAUAUUAA